AAACGACAAACAGUGCUGAUCUCUAUUUCUAACAUUAAAGUCACUUUACGUUAACGUUAGCUAACUUGUUACCUUGGUGACCGUGGGCUCUGCACGCACCGGUCAAUCCUUCGACAGCAGCUUUAAUGAAGGAGAGCAUGAUGUUCACCUUUACACUGACACUGUUAUCAAACCUGUCUCCUAGUAUGAUCCAUGUACGACCAUUUAACAAGCUGAAUUAGUUAAUAUAUCAUGGCCAACAUGCUGAGAACAAGGUCGCUGCCAUUACUGUGAUGCCUUCUUCUUCUUCUUCUGGUAAACAUCGUCUGGGUGCAUUACCGCCACCUACUGGUCUGGAGUGUGGAUCGGAAAAUACAUUCUCUAACUGGAAAAGAGAAGUAAACACAAUUCGAUUCUCGGUCUAACUCGCUGUACGCCGUUGGGACUAAAGAGAGGAAUGGAUCCCUGAUAUAAUAUCAGCUGCAGAUGUUCCCUCUUGUGGGACUUGAUCAGAAUCCAGAUGGCCUUCUGGGGAGAGAGGAGACAGCAUGGAGUCCCCUGAGAAUGUGGAAAUACACCUUUAGUUUUCAUGUCAGCUGUGUUUUACCAGCACUUCAUCAGAUUCAAAGAGCAUAAGUGUCCAACACCAUGUUGCAACUAAGAUGUUUGUGUUCACUUGUUUGUUUAUGUAUCUUCAGGGAGGUGUCUCUGUUUUAUGGUCUGUUUGGAGGCAGCAAUUUGUGUUUCUGAUAUUCAGCAAGUGUGACAAAACAGAACUCUUUGUAAUACAUACAGUUAUGCUUUAUGUGAACUCAUCCAGACUCAGCCUGUUACUCAUGUUCAGGAAGUAUCAGUAAGCAUAAACAGCAGAAUAAUAAAUAUAUAGGAUGAGGACAAAGUAGAGGGAAUUUUAUGACAACAGUUUAUUGUAAAAACUUAGCACAGACAUGAUAUACAUUAACUGUAUCUCUCUUCUGGUAUGCUCUUCUUUUCCAUGGGAAACAUCACAACAACACUGCAUUUUUGAAAACACAAGUUAAAUAAAUAAAGGGUUUUUUAUCAAUUAUCACACCUCAUCUUUCAGACUUUAGAGUUGCAAUAAGUAACAUAUAAAACAUUGUGGACAAACAUGUUUCCAGAAUUUAAACAAAUGCUGUAAAUAAAGUCGAUUCAAGGCCUUAACAAAGCUAAUGUAACUGUGUUGGAUGUUCUAUUUAUUUAAAUUUCACUUUUGAUUUGAUCUAACACAGAUGUCAGGGUAAACAAAGUUCUUGUGUACUCAUGGUUUUUUUUUAACGCUGUUAAGUUGUCUUGUAAACAAAGUUUCAGUUCAGACUCAAACACCAAACAGACAACAAUCUGUGUAUCCUGGAGGUACAACAGACGAUCCCUUCAGCAGGAAACAUUCGCAGAACCAG